GUGGCCGAGUAGGUGGCAGGUUGUAACCCUGUGUAGGCGGGUUGAGCCCCGUCCUUACUAA
rnacentral:tRNA from 1 species